UAAGAUGAAUUUUAACCAAUUCCACAGGCA
rnacentral:tRNA from 1 species